ACAAAAGCCGAGCCGGCAGAGCAAUGACAGUUAGUUUGCUUGAAACUGCACUUCGGAAGUCCAACCGGCGAAUUCUAGAUUAGUGCUGCGAAGUAAAUAAUCCUGAUAUCAAGUGAAGCGAGGUAUGAGUGAAAAUGACCAAGUCUUGGUUUUGAUCGAACAAGCGCAAGAAAACAAAUAUAAACAUCUAACUGGGAAGGCUACUCGCUCGGUCAAACUACAUCCUCCAUGACUUUCAUCAAUCCCCCAGAGAUUUAUAACAUCCGGGGAUCCAUUCCAGAGCAGC